rnacentral:rRNA from 1 species
UACAGAGGGGGCGAGCGUUGUUCGGAAUUACUGGGCGUAAAGGGCGCGUAGGCGGCCUGCUAUGUCGAACGUGAAAUCCCUGGGCUCAACCCAGGAACUGCGUCCGAAACUGGCAGGCUUGAAUCCGGGAGAGGGAUGUGGAAUUCCAGGUGUAGCGGUGAAAUGCGUAGAUAUCAGGAGGAACACCGAUGGCGAAGGCAGCUUCCUGGUCCAAUUCUGACGCUGAGGUGCGAAAGCGUGGGUAGCGAACGGG